AACGAACGCUGGCGGCAUGCCUAAUACAUGCAAGUCGAACGAGAUCUUCGGAUCUAGUGGCGCACGGGUGCGUAACGCGUGGGAAUCUGCCCUUGGGUUCGGAAUAACUUCUGGAAACGGAAGCUAAUACCGGAUGAUGACGUAAGUCCAAAGAUUUAUCGCCCAAGGAUGAGCCCGCGUAGGAUUAGCUAGUUGGUGGGGUAAAGGCCCACCAAGGCGACGAUCCUUAGCUGGUCUGAGAGGAUGAUCAGCCACACUGGGACUGAGACACGGCCCAGACUCCUACGGGAGGCAGCAGUAGGGAAUAUUGGACAAUGGGCGCAAGCCUGAUCCAGCAAUGCCGCGUGAGUGAUGAAGGCCUUAGGGUUGUAAAGCUCUUUUACCCGGGAUGAUAAUGACAGUACCGGGAGAAUAAGCUCCGGCUAACUCCGUGCCAGCAGCCGCGGUAACAC
rnacentral:rRNA from 1 species